rnacentral:lncRNA from 1 species
UGAUGUUUUGUCACAAGGCCAGCCUUUCUCCUGCAGCAUUCCACCUAGGCCGGAACCCAGAGAUCACAUCACCAUCCCAUGCUUAAGUUUGAGCAUCAAGCCUGCACUCCCCAAGUGCCUUUGGAUAAGCACAUUGGCAUCCAAUGGCUAGCCCCAGAACUCGUUUGGAAUAGCCAAAGACCAUUGACCACUAAAGCAGACAGAUAUUCUCAUUUCAAAGAGACUGG